GAAUGGACGCUGCCGUCCGGGUUGGUUUCCCGACCGUCGCACUUCUCGCAGGCGCGCGCCAACGUCGGUUAGGGCUGGGUCUCAAAGGCGGUGGAAAGGUAGGUUUGGACUCUCGGGCCCGAACUGUUACAGUCCUCCGUUCGUCAUGGCCCGGACCUGACCGAGGAGCUUGCGGUGCAUGCCCUUUCGGCUAGGAUCCCGUCUUCCCGGUCGGUCGUCGAAUGCGGUGGACUGCGUGCAGUGCGCCGCGACUGCUGCCGGUCGCGAGGGCGGUGAUUUCGUACUAUGCACCCACGACGUUGGCGGUCAUAUGGCCUCAUCCGACCCGUCUUGAAACACGGACCAAGGAGUCUAACAUGUGUGCGAGUCUUUGAGUGAUCGAAACUCCGAGGCGAAAUGAAAGUGAAGGCGACUCCGGUCGCUGAGGUGAGAGCCUUUUUCAAAAAAAAGGCGCAUCAUUGACCGACCUAUUCUACUCUUAGAAAGGUUUGAGUAAGAGCGCAUCUGUUGGGACCCNGAAAGAUGGUGAACUAUGCCUGAAUAGGGUGAAGCCAGAGGAAACUCUGGUGGAGGCUCGUAGCGAUUCNUGACGUGCAAAUCGAUCGUCAAAUUUGGGUAU
rnacentral:ncRNA from 1 species